AACGAACGCUGGCGGCAGGCUUAACACAUGCAAGUCGAGCGCCCCGCAAGGGGAGCGGCAGACGGGUGAGUAACGCGUGGAAUCUACCCAUCUCUACGGAAUAACGCAUGGAAACGUGUGCUAAUACCGUAUACGUCCUUCGGGAGAAAGAUUUAUCGGAGAUGGAUGAGCCCGCGUUGGAUUAGCUAGUUGGUGGGGUAAAGGCCUACCAAGGCGACGAUCCAUAGCUGGUCUGAGAGGAUGAUCAGCCACACUGGGACUGAGACACGGCCCAGACUCCUACGGGAGGCAGCAGUGGGGAAUAUUGGACAAUGGGCGCAAGCUUGAUCCAGCCGUGCCGCGUGAGUGAUGAAGGCCCUAGGGUUGUAAAGCUCUUUCACCGGUGAAGAUAAUGACGGUAACCGGAGAAGAAGCCCCGGCUAACUUCGUGCCAGCCGCCGCGGUAAGAC
rnacentral:rRNA from 1 species